UGUCAAAUCAUCAUGCCCCUUAUGUCCAGGGCUUCACACGUACUACAAUGGCGCAAAACAAAGGGGAGCGAAGGCGUGAGCCGGAGCAAAUCCCAAAAAAGCGCCCCAGUUCGGAUUGCAGGCUGCAACUCGCCUGCAUGAAGUAGGAAUUGCUAGUAAUCGCAGAUCAGCAUGCUGCGGUGAAUACGUUCCCGGGCUUU
rnacentral:rRNA from 1 species